GGGAGAAUUUGAAAGGCUUUCUAGGGUCUGAGUGUCCUUUGCUUGUUUGGAGGCAGAACUCUGGCCCUAGAAACAUGGGUCUUGAAUGUGGGAAUUGCAGUUUUCCAGAAUCAGCCUAGCAGGGAGUUUGGCUUCUGCAAAGCUGAGCUUCAAGUCGAGACUGAAGUGUGUCAGUGUGGUGGUAUCUCUGGGGGUGGGCUGUGCUCAUCCCUGGGCUCAUUCUCUCCAGAGACGUCCGCAAGCUCCUCCUCCCCUCUCCAGCUGAGCCAAUCGAUGCACUUCAGGACACACAUUAGAAGGAACCUCGGAAAAACCAGCAAUGGGGGAUAAUGGGUGGCUUGUCCAUCGUUUCAAGCUGAGUCAUGGCGAGGAAGGCAGCUGAUUCAAAGCUGUCUCUCGUGACUUCAAUCGUGGGGUCACUGAUAUCAAAAAGUGGGGUGGUGUCAGGUCGGGUGUGUGCCAUGGGCCACACUUGAGAUAGUCAUAGCCCCGCCUGUAGAGCUUCUCAGUGUGCUCAGAGAGAGAGGAGUGAGAAAGAUCCUGCUGGCACCUGCCCCAGGCCAGGGCUGACCAAGGCUGUGGCUGUGGGAGGUGGAGGCAGGGCUGAGAGCUGCUCCUAGGGUGCAUGCUCAUGCCAGCCAGACGGCCUGAGGGUACCAUGACAAAUCCUGCUCAGCUCCUGAGCCACAUCUCCAGGCUUAGAUAUGUGACAGGAGAUGGAUUUGUGGAGGAAACCCGGGGAUAUUCCGAGAUAUGUGCAUUUGGGUACAUGGUGCCUCUGAGUCUUGUGGCCCCAAAGUGCCUCCACGCAGAGAGGUGACAAGGUACUGCCAUCACAUCUAUGGUUCACUUCCUGCAUGAUGGGGGGUCCAAUGGCUCGAGAGUUUGGCAGGCUGUCUAGGGCCUGAGUGCCCUUGGUUUGUGUAGAGGCACAAGAGUGGACCCAGUAGUACCUGGCUUGAAUCAUGGACAUGCAGGUUUUAAGAAUCAGGCUGGUGUGGCAGUUGGCUUCUGGAGAGCUGGGCAUGAUUAUAUUCAUGACUGUGGAGUGUCAGUGCAGUGGUAUUUGGGGGGGCAGACUGAGCCUGUCCCUAUGCUCCUUCUCUCCAGAGAUCUUCAUAUUGUCUUCCUCCCGUGCUGGACACGUGUGCCAAGGAACCUACCUAAAUCCAGGUAAGAGUGAAUAACAGCUGGGGGGUCCUGGAUCGCAGGCCAGGUGUCAUGUCCGAAAGGUGUUGAUUGAUUGGCAUCCAGUUAUCAUGACAACAAUCCUGGUGUCUGAUUUGAAGGAACAGGAUGGCGUCCUGAGGGGUGAGUGUCCUGGCCGAUGUUGAAAUAGUCACACCCCCGCCCAUGGUGCUUGUCAGAACUCUCAGAGGGAGAGGAGUGAGGGAGUCACACUGGCACAUGCCCCAGGGCAGUGCAGACCAGGUUUCUGCUAUGGGAGGCAGAGGAAGAGUUGAGAGUUGCUGUUAUGGUUCAUGUCCCCCAGAUGGCGCCCAAGUGCCAACGAAGCAGCCCUGCAUCUCCAGGCUCAGAACAGGAAUGGAGAUGCAUCAAGCGAAUCCCAAGGAGGUGCCCAGAGCUUUGUUUUGUGUACAUGAUGCCUCUGACCCUGUGGCCCAAUUUGCCUCCACUCAUGGAGGGGACACGCAUCUGCCAUCACAUGUCCAAAUCUAUUCCUGCCGGUCGGCAGACCCAAAGAUGUGAGAGUGUGACAGGCUGUCUGGAAUCUGUGUCCUUUGCUUAUUUGUAGGCAGAGCUCUGUCCCCAGAAACACCAGUCUUGAAUGUGGAAAUUGCAGUUGUCCAGAAUCAGCCUGACAGGGAGUUUGGCCUCUGGAAGGCAGAAUAUCAGGUCGUGAAUGCAGUGUGCCAGUGCGGUGAUAGCAUUGGGGGCAGGCUCAGCUCAUCCCUGGGCUCUUUCUCUCCAGAGAUGUCCACAGCCUCAUCCUUCCCUCUCCACCUGAGCCCACUGAGGACACUUCAGGAACCUCGCUAAAACCAGGAAAGGGGAGAAGGGGCGGUUUGUCCAUCAUCUCAAGCUGAUUCAUGGGGAGGAAGGUGGCUGAUUCAAAUUCAGCUCUCAUGACUUAAAUUGUGGGGUGGCUGAUAUCAAAUGCAUUGUAGUGUUGGGUGGGUUGGGUGCCCUGAUCCCCCAUGUCCUAGGCAUAGCCCUGCCUGUGGUACUUUUCAGUGUGCUCAGCAGAAGGCCCGCUGACAUGUAACCCGGGGCACUGCAGAUCAUGUUUCUACUCUGGGAAGCCUAAAAAGGGCUGAGAGUUGCUAUUAUGACUCAUGUCCACCAGGCGGCAUCAAAGCUCCAGCCUCUGCCCUCCUGCAUCCUCAGGCUCAAACCAGGAUUAGAGAUCCAUGCACACAAGCUCAAGGAGGUACCCAGAGCUCGUGUUUGUGUACAUGUUGCCUCUGACUGUGUGGCCCAUGUUGCCGCUCCUGAGGGGACACGCAUCUGCCAUCACAUGUCCAAUGCAAUUUCUGUCAGGUCAGAAGACUCAAAUAUCGUAGUUUGACAGGCUGUCUGGUGUCUGAGUGUCCUUUGCUUGUUUGGAGGCAGAGCUCUGGCCCCAGAGACAACGGUCUUGAUUGUGGAUUGAGCGGAUUUCCAGAAAUAUCAUGAAAUGGAAUGUUGCUUCUGGAAUGCUGGGCUUCCAGUGCUGUAGUCCAGGAUUUCAUUGUGAUGGUAAUUGGGGGGCAGCCUGAGUCUAUCCCUGUGCUUCUUUUCACCACAGAUCUAUGUCCUCCUCCUCCCUGCUCCACCUCAGCCUCUUCCUCCCUGCUGGAUACCUGUGCCAAGGAACCUACUAAAUCCAGUGAUCUCUGCAUCCUCCUCCUCCCUGUUGGACACCUGUGCCAAGGAACCUACCUAAAUCCAGAGUCCUCUGCAUCCUCCUCCUCCUUUCUCACCCCGAGCAUCUUCCUUGUCUGCUGGACACCUGUGCCAAGGAACCUACCUCAAUCCAGGGGAAACGUCCAAAAAGCAGUGGCUCAGGGGAAAAAAGGAAAAGGAAGUCUGUGGAGAAAUUUCAGAGAUAGAUCCCAGGGAUGAGAACAGCCUGGCCAGCCACAAACCCCCUUCUACAAUGUCCAGUCAUGUCCUAAAGCACUGCUUUCCAGAUGCCACACUGGACAAAAGUUGACUCUCAAGAACUGCAUGCCCAAGUUUCAAGCUAAAUGCUGUGUGAUUCAGAGCUAUUCCAUCACAGGAUCCAAAGGCAUUCAGACCACGGAGAGCCAGGCACAUCGUCUCCUCUUAGGGCUCCAUAACCAGUAUGGAAACGACCUCUAGCCAUGAAGGAGAAGAGCUCUGUAGCCACUAUCAGGAGAUGCAGCGUCCACCCAAGAGUCAGAAGAAGCCCAUAACACACCUUCCAUUGCUGGGCUUAUCCUGGGGUUCCACCAGUGGCAUUGGCAACCCCAUCUCUGCGUCUGGAAUUACCAACACCAAGCAGCAGAUGGGCAUGUCAGGGCUCCUUGUCCUCUAGCGUCCAUUACCUAUACCAGCCCUUCAGAUCCCAUUCUUCUGCAUCCUGACUCCUCCCAGUCUGUUUGCACUGCUCCUGAGCACCUGUGAGCCUGAUUUGGUCCUCUCCUCUUCAUCUCUCUCUCUCUCUGUCAGAAAAAUCAAGGGCUACCUUAGGGCUCUGUGACCAGCUCAGGUGAAAGGAAAAUGCAGAACUUUUCAGAGAUCCCUUAAGAGAUUGGUCUCUGGGAUGUACCCAGCCUGCUCUCCAAGGGACCUCUGCUUUUUCACUCUCCACUGAUGAACACCAGCCCAGCCAUCCUGAGCCUGGAGAGGCAGUUGCAUGCUGUAAGCAAGCUCUCCCGGCGGGGCACCUCCUGGGGGAUCCACCAUCCUCAUUUCCAUCCAUGUCUGUGAGCCUAGAAGGGCAAUACAAGCUUCUGCUGAGCUUAGAUGGUGCUUUUUGGCGCCCUCUGGUGGACAUUCUCUCUAAUGACAACUCAGAGCCCUGCCUCCUGUCUCCUGCCCAAACCCACCCCUGGGCCUGUGCAUCAGAGAGAGGAUUUAAUUCCUCCGCUCACUCUGAUUACAACCAAGAGCCUUUAAGAGGGUGUGUUUUUCCCUCAAUGCCAGCCAUGGCACCCACUCCUCCCAAUCCUUCACUAUCCUCCUUAAUCAGUGAGCUGAGCCUACUCCAGAAUCGGGUAACCGUUUUUACAUUAGUCAGCUUCCCCUCCUGAUUUAUGUAACACUGACUGGUUGCAGUCAGUGUUUUCCUCUCAGGGCUUAACAAGGGGAGGGAGAGGCUCAGAUGGAAGGAAAAGAAAAAACUUUUCAGAGAGAUACGUCUGUGCGUUGGAUGCAUCCUGCCCAGCAGGGAACCUCUGCAUUUACACUCUCCGUGCACGACCAACAGCAGCCCGGCUUUCUGAACCCCCAAAACCAUACAAGUCUGAUCCUAGAACAUUGCCUGCCCAAUAUUCAAGCCGACUCCACUUGGGUUCACACAUCUGCCUCUGUAGAAUCCAGAGCUCUUGACAGCCUGCCCAACUGUCUGAAAGUGACCCACAGAAGUGAAGGCAGAAAAGUGUCCUUUCUGUCAGGUCAGGUCAUUUAGAUUUGAGUGUCUGAGGUGAUCCAUAAACUAGCCCUCCUCUGAAGGCACGUGUCAGGAAAUCCACCACCACCACCAUCACCACCACCACCACCAAUCCCAAGCAGCCGCUGGGCUCCGCCGCUGCUCUGGCGCCUUCUAGUGGCCAUUCUUUAAUAACUCAGAGCCUUUUCUCCUGCCUCCUGACCAAACCCAUGGCUGGACUACACUGGGUUUGUGCAUCUGACAGCCAAUUCCCUCCUACUCUCACUCUGAGAACCACCAUGUACCUUACGAGAGGGCAAGGUGUCUCUCUCAACAUCCCCCAGCUCACUCCUUCCUCCGUGUUCUACUCUAGUCAUUCACCUCCACCUGGAAAUUCAUCUGCCUGCCUUAAUACUCAUUUCAAUUCUCUGGGGGUAACUGCCAGAAAAGAGUGGCUCAGGGAGGAGAACAAAAAGGAAGUCUGUGGCAAAGUUUCAGAAACAGAUUCCAGGGAUUAAUCAGAUUGUUAUGAUCAUUAUACAACUACAGAUGUGAUAAAUUCAUUUGAGUAAAAAAAA
rnacentral:lncRNA from 1 species